rnacentral:rRNA from 1 species
CCUACGGGAGGCAGCAGUGGGGAAUUUUGGACAAUGGGCGCAAGCCUGAUCCAGCAAUGCCGCGUGAGUGAAGAAGGCCUUCGGGUUGUAAAGCUCUUUUGUGGAACGAUCGGUACCUGAAGAAUAAGCACCGGCUAACUACGUGCCAGCAGCCGCGGUAAUACGUAGGGUGCAAGCGUUAAUCGGAAUUACUGGGCGUAAAGCGUGCGCAGGCGGUUUUGUAAGUCUGUCGUGAAAUCCCCGGGCUCAACCUGGGAAUGGCGAUGGAGACUGCAAGGCUAGAGUUUGGCAGAGGGGGGUAGAAUUCCACGUGUAGCAGUGAAAUGCGUAGAUAUGUGGAGGAACACCGAUGGCGAAGGCAGCCCCCUGGGUCAGCUGACGCUCAUGCACGAAAGCGUGGGGAGCAAACAGGAUUAGAUACCCUUGUAGUC